rnacentral:rRNA from 1 species
UACGUAGGGUGCAAGCGUUGUCCGGAAUUAUUGGGCGUAAAGGGCGCGUAGGCGGCCAUAUAAGUCAGAUGUGAAAGCUCCGGGCUCAACCCGGGAAUUGCAUCUGAUACUGUAAGGCUUGAGUUCGGUAGAGGAGGGCGGAAUUCCAGGUGUAGCGGUGAAAUGCGUAGAUAUCAAGAGGAACACCAGUGGCGAAGGCGAGUCCCUGGACAACUUCUGACGCUGAGGCACGAAAGCUAGGGGAGCAAACAGG